rnacentral:siRNA from 1 species
UGAAUCCUACUCUAGCAUUGA